CGUGUCGUCAGCUCGUGUCGUGAGAUGUUGGGUUAAGUCCCGCAACGAGCGCAACCCCUAUUGUUAGUUGCCAUCAUUCAGUUGGGCACUCUAGCGAGACUGCCGGUAAUAAACCGGAGGAAGGUGGGGAUGACGUCAAAUCAUCAUGCCCCUUAUGACCUGGGCUACACACGUGCUACAAUGGUUGGUACAACGAGUUGCGAGUCGGUGACGGCGAGCUAAUCUCUUAAAGCCAAUCUCAGUUCGGAUUGUAGGCUGCAACUCGCCUACAUGAAGUCGGAAUCGCUAGUAAUCGCGGAUCAGCACGCCGCGGUGAAUACGUUCCCGGGCCUU
rnacentral:rRNA from 1 species